GACGAACGCUGGCGGCGUGCUUAACACAUGCAAGUCGAACGGUGAAGGGGCGUGCUUUUGUGGUGCCUGGGUGAGUGGCGAACGGGUGAGUCACACGUGAGUAACCUGCCCCCUUCUUCUGGAUAACCGCAUGAAAGUGUGGCUAAUACGGGAUAUUCUUGCUCUGUCGCAUGAUGGGGAUGGGAAAGAUUGCGCCGUUGGGUCUCUCUGGUGGGGGGUGGGCUGGUGGGCUAUCAGCUUGUGGGUGGUGUGAUGGGUGACCAGGGCGGGGACGGGUAGCCGGCCGGAGGGGGGGGGGGGUGACACUGGGACUGGGCCACUGGGCAGACUGCUACGGCAGGCAGCAGUAGGGAAUAUUGCACAAGGGGCGCAAGCCUGAUGCAGCGACGCCGCGUGAGGGAUGGAGGCCUGCGGGUUGUAGGCCUCUUGGGCGAGAGAAGCAGGCCUGCUCCUUGUGGGUGGGUUGACGGUAGUUGGAAAAGAAGCACCGGCUAACUACGUG
rnacentral:rRNA from 1 species